AGGGAUGUAGCUUAGUGGUAGAGUUUUUGUCUUGCAUGCACAAGGAUCUGAGUUCAAUCCCCAGCAUCACAC
rnacentral:tRNA from 1 species